rnacentral:rRNA from 1 species
GACGAACGCUGGCGGCGUGCUUAACACAUGCAAGUCGAACGGAAAGGCCCUGCUUUUGUGGGGUGCUCGAGUGGCGAACGGGUGAGUAACACGUGAGUAACCUGCCCUUGACUUUGGGAUAACUUCAGGAAACUGGGGCUAAUACCGGAUAGGAGCUCCUGCUGCAUGGUGGGGGUUGGAAAGUUUCGGCGGUUGGGGAUGGACUCGCGGCUUAUCAGCUUGUUGGGGGGGUAGUGGCUUACCAAGGCUUUGACGGGUAGCCGGCCUGAGAGGGUGACCGGCCACAUUGGGACUGAGAUACGGCCCAGACUCCUACGGGAGGCAGCAGUGGGGAAUAUUGCACAAUGGGCGGAAGUCUGAUGAAGCAACGCCGCGUGCGGGAUGACGGCCUUCGGGUUGUAAACCGCUUUCGCCUGUGACGAAGCGUGAGUGACGGUAAUGGGUAAAGAAGCACCGGCUAACUACGUG